GUAGCCUAGUGGUUAGAGGAGGAGGCAGGCAGCCUAGUGGUUAGAGGAGGAGGCAGGUAGCCUAGUGGUUAGAGGAGGCAGGUAGCCUAGUGGUUAGAGGAGGCAGGUAGCCUAGUGGUUAGAGGAGGCAGGUAGCCUAGUGGUUAGAGGAGGCAGGUAGCCUAGUGGUUAGAGGAGGCAGGUAGCCUAGUGGUUAGAGGAGGCAGGUAGCCUGGUGGUUAGAGGAGGCAGGUAGCCUAGUGGUUAGAGAGUUGGGCCAGUAACUGAAGGUGAAAAUCUGUCAUUCUGCCCCUGAUUCUUAACUGACUUGCCUAGUUAAAUGAAGGUUAAAUAAAGGUUAAAUUAAUAAAACAUGUAAAAGUCUGUGUGCAUGUUGAAGGUUAAAUAAAGGUUAAAUGAAGGUUACAUUAAUAAAACAUGUAAAAAUCUGACUGUUUUUGUGUUGAAGGUUAAAUGAAGGUUAAAUAAAGGUUAAAUGAAGGUUACAUUAAUAAAAGAUGUAAAAGUCUGACUGUGUGUGUGUCUUGUCUCUAGCUGUGGAGCGUUUAGGGUUGGGUUGGCUGGUGGUCGUUGACUCUUCAUCACUCUCACUGGUGCUCACGAUACGCUGGGCCUUUCUACCAGUACGCCUCAACAAUGACUUCCUGAAACACACACACACACACACACACACACACACACACACACACACACACACACACACACACACACACACACACACACACACACACACACACACACAC
rnacentral:lncRNA from 1 species